GAGGAAUUUUGCGCAAUGGGGGAAACCCUGACGCAGCAACGCCGCGUGAGUGAAGAAGGCUUUCGGGUCGUAAAGCUCUGUCAAGAGGGAAGAAAGUGGGGUAUGGUAAUACUGUAUUCUAUUGACGGUACCUCUGAAGGAAGCACCGGCUAACUCCGUGCCAGCAGCCGCGGUAAUACGGGGGGUGCAAGCGUUAUUCGGAUUUAUUGGGCGUAAAGAGCGCGUAGGCGGUUUAUCAAGUCAGAUGUGAAAGCCCUGGGCUCAACCUGGGAAGUGCAUUUGAAACUAGUAGACUUGAGUAUGGGAGAGGGGAGUGGAAUUCCUGGUGUAGAGGUGAAAUUCGUAGAUAUCAGGAGGAACACCGGUGGCGAAGGCGACUUCCUGGACCAAUACUGACGCUGAGGCGCGAAGGCGUGGGGAGCAAAC
rnacentral:rRNA from 1 species